rnacentral:rRNA from 1 species
ACACCGGCAGCUCUAGUGGUAGCAAUUUUUAUUGGGCCUAAAGCGUCCGUAGCCGGUUUAAUAAGUCUCUGGUGAAAUCCUGCAGCUUAACUGUGGGAAUUGCUGGAGAUACUAUUAGACUUGAGAUCGGGAGAGGUUAGAGGUACUCCCAGGGUAGAGGUGAAAUUCUGUAAUCCUGGGAGGACCGCCUGUUGCGAAGGCGUCUAACUGGAACGAUUCUGACGGUGAGGGACGAAAGUUAGGGGCGCGAACCGGAUUAGAUACCCGGGUAGUCCUAACUGUAAACGAUGCGGACUUGGUGUUGGGGUGGCUUUGAGCUGCUCCAGUGCCGAAGGGAAGCUGUUAAGUCCGCCGCCUGGGAAGUACGGUCGCAAGACUGAAACUUAAAGGAAUUGACGGGG